rnacentral:sRNA from 1 species
UUUGUUGGAAGUGGCUGGGCUUUUGGUCAAGCAACAUAAUGUGUGUAGGGAUCGAAUUUUAUGGGGAAGAUGGAUGGGUCUUCUGCUCCACUGAGUUACGUCUAAGAUGUGCCAUCAAGGCUGGGCUGACCCUGUCCAGACUUGUUGGCACACCUUAGACUCAACUUUACCUAACUUGUCCUUUUCUCCUGCACUACAGAGUUCUGCCUUCUCCGAGGGAAGCAAGGUGGCUUCGAGAACAAGAAGAGAAUUGACUCUGUCUACCUGGACCCCCUGGUCUUUCGAGAGUUUGCAUUCAUAGACAUGCCAGAUGCUGCGCAUGGGAUAUCUUCCCAGGAUGGACCAUUAAGUGUUUUAAAGCAAGCGACCCUGCUCCUGGAGAGGAAUUUCCAUCCAUUUGCGGAGCUGCCUGAGCCACAACAGACAGCUUUGAGUGACAUCUUCCAGGCGGUCCUAUUUGAUGAUGAACUACUCAUGGUCCUGGAACCAGUGGUGAGCCCUGAGACAUCUCAAGGCAGUGUUUUCACUGGGGUUUUCUGGAACAGGGGACGAGGCAGGAUGGAAUUGUGUUAAAGGUUCCCCC